rnacentral:rRNA from 1 species
GAUGAACGCUGGCGGCGUGCCUAAUACAUGCAAGUCGAGCGAUCUUCUUCGGAAGAGAGCGGCGGACGGGUGAGUAACGCGUGGGUAACCUGCCCUGUACACACGGAUAACAUACCGAAAGGUAUGCUAAUACGAGAUAAUAUACUUUUAUCGCAUGGUAGAAGUAUCAAAGCUUUUGCGGUACAGGAUGGACCCGCGUCUGAUUAGCUAGUUGGUAAGGUAACGGCUUACCAAGGCGACGAUCAGUAGCCGACCUGAGAGGGUGAUCGGCCACAUUGGAACUGAGACACGGUCCAAACUCCUACGGGAGGCAGCAGUGGGGAAUCUUCCACAAUGGGCGCAAGCCUGAUGGAGCAACACCGCGUGAGUGAAGAAGGGUUUCGGCUCGUAAAGCUCUGUUGUUGGAGAAGAACGUGCGUGAGAGUAACUGUUCACGCAGU